UGUGACCAGCGGUCACUUUGAGGGGACACCAGGAAGGGGCAUCUUAGCAUUUUUCUUUUCGGUUUAGGCUGGUGUUAAGUGGAUUUUUCUCCUCUUUUGGGCCCAGCCCGUUUGGAAUUGGAAGCCCAGCCCAUUGCAUCCCCAGCCCCUUUAUUUUCCCUCUUGAACGGCACCGUUUGCUUCCCGCCCUUGGGGUUUAAUUCCUCUCUUCUUCGUCAGCGCCUCUUGCCUUCUUCCUCUUCUUCUUCUUCAUUCAUUUCUUCUUCCUCCAGCCGCACGACAGCUUCUUCUUCUCCUUCUUCCUUUCCAUUUCUUUUCUUCUUUCUUCCCCUAUUUUUCCGUGUGGCGGUCUGCUACUUCUUGGCGUGGUGUCGUUGCUCUUCUUCCCCUGCUUCUUCUUCCUUUCUUCUUCUUGUUUUCGCAGUUUGCUGCUUGGUGAGCCCUCCGUUUUUCGGAUGGCCUGUCCGAAGCUUCUUGGGCACCAUUCUUCCUCUUCUUCAUUUCUUGUGUAUUUCUAGUUAGUGUUGUGUAAAAACCCUUGAAUCGCGGCCUGUUUUGGACCCUAAAUCAUGCUCUGUUUUGGUCCCCAUCCGUGAAGCUUCAAGCUCGGUUUUCCUCUCUUUUUCCCUUAAUAAUUUCGUGGUUCAUGCUUGUGACUGUUCCCCUUGCAUUCUCAAUUGUUUUGGUCCUUUCAUUGUGUUUUUUUUUUUUUUUUUUUUGCCCUUUGGCCGUGCCCUGUUUUGCCCAUAAAAGCCGUGAGCUUCACUCGGUUUCUUGGUGAUUUUUUGGUGCUUGUCGUGAACUAAACUUCCAGCCAUUAUUUUCUAAAUUUUAUCAUGGUAAAUCGUCCCUUUUAUUCCGAAAAUAUUACAUCAAAUUGCCUUGUCUAAGAAACUCUUUUUUCGUCCCAAAAAUUAUGAUUUUUGGCUAUUUAUUUUGGGCUAGCUUUUGGCAUUAAACUGGAUGUUUGAUCUUUCAAAAACUUGCCGUUAGCUAAUUUUUCAAAGAACUUUAUGAUAUUUAAAUAUAUUUUACACUAAUAAAUCUUUUGUGAUCUGAUUGGUUGUGUCAGAUAUUAAGUCCGAUAAAUUUUGGGGUCGGUUGGAUUUGAAGAAGUGUUUGUUUAUUGAUUUGAAUUAUGCUUGCGUGCAUCUAUGUGUGUUGGUGUCAUGAUUAUUUUAUUGGAUUACGGCAUAUAUAUUUAUGCGUCGUAAAUAAAAACUGAGUUUUCAUAUGAGAAAAGAAUAUGAGUAGAUUUGUGAUAAAUGAUUGGUAAUGAUUGAGAGAGGAAAAAGAGACUGUAGGGAUGGUGGUAGUCCUGCCUGCGAUUCUCGCCUACAGUGAGAGCUGUAAGGAUGGUGGUAAGCAGGGAUGGUGGUAGAAUUUCGCCUGCUAUUCCUGUCUACACUGUCCAAUAAAUGGAUAUGUUGGGCUAUUUUUUGAAAAAAUGACGGUUUAUGAUUUAUUGGAUACGAGCACUAUUUUCUAGAAAAAUGACAAAUAUUAAUCGAUGGCUUGUUUUGGUUCUAAUGAUGAUCUUGGGUCUCAUGCUUAUUUCAUUUUAUGCACGUAUAUAUAUUGUUGCAUGAAUGUAUUUUCAUAUAUUGGGCUGUUUAGUUUAUUACUUGCUAAGACUCGUAAUCUCAUAAUAUUCGAUACUUUACGGUACCGUUUCGGUAGAUUUUGAUGCAGAUGAUGAAGUAGAGUCUAAGGAUGCGGCUCUACCAGAUGAGCAAUCUGGGGUCACUUUUUUGAGUGUUGGGAUGUAUUUCUUGCUUUUGGAUCUUGUGUUUUGGUUCUAUGAUGUUUUCACUGGAUAACUGGAAUAUAUUUUGAAAUGCCUUUAUUUAAGUAAAUCUGUAUUUAAAAUUCUGGUACUUAAAUGAUUAGCUUUUGAUUUAUCCACUACGUUUUUAUUGUACACUUUAUAAAUAUACACACACUUGGCACUUAUCGUUGGGAUGCGACCCAUGUUGUCAUCAUUCAGAAGUCAUUAUUGCCGCAUUUUCGUACUUGAGAGUCGGGGCAUCACAUAUGAUAUAUACAACACUUUCAUCUCAUUUUAAUCGGGUUGUAUUGAUGUGAUAUUGUCUAUCGAUCUCUAGAUCAACUCUUUUUUUAAGAAUAAUAAAUUUAGUUAUUGAAUGAUAAUGAAGAUCAUUGAUAACGCUAGAUCUUCGUUAUCAUCCUCUCACUUACUAGUUACUAGGCAAAAGAUAAUAAGUUAAGAUAUAUAAUUAAUAUAUUUCAACUAUAAGUUAGACUUGACUUGAAUGCAUCUUUCUCGAGUGACAACUUUAGAGCCAGGUAGCUUAAUUGAUAACUUUGAAUGUGUUCUAGAUAUUUUUAGAAGGGGCCCGUUUUAGACAUAAGCGAUAGACCCAAAUAAAUCUACUAGAGCCCAAAAUCUAGCAAUGUCCAGCCCAAGUGGACAAUUUGUAAGCUUCCAAGUUAUAGAACUUCUAGCAUAUAAAAAAGGCCUUGAACUUCUAGGAAUAAAGUCCUUAAACUUCCGCAUGUAGGAAACUCAAAAUCUUGCAGCCACCGUCGCCCUAUCUUCUCUUUCAGUUCUUGAGACAAGCUUCAUUGGGUGCUCAUGUUUUAUAAUGAUAUUAGAGCAAUACUUUCCACAACUGAUCAAGAUGUCAAGUUUCUUGUAAAAUUCUCUAUGGAUUCUCAUCUCAUUCUUUAGCAGUUCUUAAUAUUUGUGAUGGUCCUUCAAACCUUUUUUAUGGAGUUGUGCUGGUAUUUCAUUCAGGGAGGCAGUUAAUGUCAUUGGAAAUUUGUACUAAAAGCAAGUCUGCUAACACAAUGGAACACUAAGCAAACCAAUAGAUGACUAUACUCUGCUACAAGUUUCUAAAGGUCAAAAGAUGUAUUUUUUUCUCAAAAAGAAACAAUGUAUUUUGUUUAUAUCUAUUAUAUCUUAGUGUAUUCAACUGUUUUCAUUUUCUUUAUUAAAAUCUUAAUUUUGGAUGGAAACAUUAAUUUCUUUGUUGAAGAGAGACAAUCAUACUUUAUUGUUCGUGAUCUGUUGUUAACCAUGAUUUGGGUCAAAACUUGAAACAACUUGAAUGCUUGAAGUAUUCUGUUUGUAUUGUUAUACCAAAAACUUAUUAUUGGAAUAGAGGUUUCGACCACAAAGAGAGAUCAUUUCUAGAUCUGUCACUACUAUAUACACAACUCUAAAAUGGUGCAAUGCCACAUCCCUCAAGGCACCCUAGAUUGAUGGAGAGUGUGCAAAAUCUACUAAGGAGACUUGCCAAAGCUGCCAAAACCAGGAUUAUCGAGAUUCCUGACUUCAACCCCUUGCUUCAGAAAUGUUGGGAGCAUGUCUACACACAAUGAUAGAUAUGUUACAAUCCAAUCAACAGUAAAAGGAGAAGAACUCCUGUCAUUGUUCUCAGAGAAUAGAAAAAUUGGUUUUUUUGCCUUCAUUGCUCUAAUAUUUGUUGACUUCUAUUUGUGUGUAUUGUAACAAGGUAAUGGAUCAAACAAGUCUCUCGAGAGCAAUCCCAAGACUUUUAUAUUAUUUGGGCAGCUUCUAAGAUCCAAGAUUUGUAAAUAGUGUUGUAAAUGAAUCGAGUAUUUCAUGCUCAACUUAUGAAUUUGUCUC